UAACAAAUAGCUUAAAUAAAAGCAAAGCAUUGAAGAUGCUUUCAUGGUUAUUAACCUUUGUUAG
rnacentral:tRNA from 1 species